UGUGGUGUAGCUUAGUGGUAGAACAGUUGCCUCAUGUGUGGAAGGUCCUGGGUUAAAUCCCCAGCACCACCA
rnacentral:tRNA from 1 species